GUGCAAAAGUGUGGAAGAAGGUGGGGGUCCACUCUAAAGCAAAGCGCACACAGUAAGUAAAGGAGACAGCUGCUUCAGAUUUCAGCACUCACCCUUUCUUCCUGUUUACAACCAAGUCAUCAAGAUAUCCUCUUUUUCCUUAUUUUCCUCCUAUUAAAAUCUCUCUUUUCCAACUUUUAUUUCAAUUCUAGUAUUCUCAAUAGUCCAAGACUCAAGACCCUUUCUCUUCUUCACAAGACGAAAUUAUGGCAAACGAAGCACCAAGCUGGGCCGAUCAAUGGGGAGCAGGUGGGAUUGGUGCAGCAGGAUCAACAGAAGAAGAAACAAAGACCAAAUCCAAGAAGGAUUCAAACAGCAGCAGCAAGAAAAUGGCAGAUAUGAAAGCAACUGCAGCAGUAGGAUUAGACAAAGCCAAAUCAGCAACAGUUGUUGGGGCACAGAAGGUCAAAGCUGGAGCAUCAGCUGGUGUUAAAUGGAUCAAAACUCUGAGCCAGAAGAAAAGUUCCUCAAAGUGAUGAAUGAUGAUGAUAUUCCUUUCACGUCUGAUGUUUUUUUUUAUUAGGGAUUAAAGUCUGGAGUGGAGACAGAAGAAACCCCUUAAUUUUUCAUUUAUUUUAUCCUGCGUUUUUGUGAAUUUCUGGAUCUCCUAUAUCUUCAGUAUGCAAAGUAUUAUAUCUUUUUAAAUGGGGUUUCUCUUUUGCA